ACGGGUACUCAGGAGCAUAUGUUAUCCAAGACUGUCAUAGACCAUUCUUGUCUGAUUGUGGUAUAUGAGUCUUUUCUUUGUAUGCUAUGUACAGAAACCAAACAUUUGCAACAAAACAAGACAUCCCAAUACACAUAUGUUAUUUAUCAUCACAAACAGCAAUAUUGUUGGGCAUUUAACAAAUAAUUAAAUAUAAUAAUCAUAGUAUGUUAAAGGAAACCUGAGUGGGAAAAUGAAUAAAAAACAGCAGCAGUAAUUAGUAGUAAACCCUGAAAGUGUUACCAACCUUGGUACAGGUUGUGAUCUUGACCUUGCACUACAAAGUUGAUGUUAUAAUUGGAUAUUCCACAGCUCAAAAUAUAGGAAUCCAUGUCUCAUUUGUUGUUGUACCAUUUUUAGAUUUUCAUCUAGCUCACUGUUCUACUUUGGUUCA